GGCCCAGUGCGGUUUCGGAGAAGCGAAACGAUGCCCACCUUUGACAGUGCCCAGCUUAUUGCUGUCGUCAUCUGGGUUAUCUGCAGCAUCGGUUACUGGUUGAUAUGCCAGCGCCGGAAAUGCUUCGACGCCUUUAAGGACACCGCAGUUCCAACAGUGCCUCUUCGGAGCCUGAUUAAUGGCAAUUCGGACGAGUACUGGAAACCGACAGUUAUCGAACGUCUGGACCGAUGGCUCGGAGAAUACGGAGAUGUUUUCGG
rnacentral:lncRNA from 1 species